UACGGGAGGCAGCAGUGGGGAAUAUUGCACAAUGGGCGAAAGCCUGAUGCAGCUAUGCCGCGUGUAUGAAGAAGGCCUUAGGGUUGUAAAGUACUUUCAUCGGGGAGGAAAAACAAAACUAAUAAUUUUAUUUCUUGACGUUACCCGAAAAAGAAGCACCGGCUAACUCCGUGCCAGCAGCCGCGGUAAUACGGAGGGUGCUAGCGUUAAUCAGAAUUACUGGGCGUAAAGAGCACGUAGGUGGUUUUUUUAAGUCAGAUGUGAAUCCCUGGGCUUAACCUGGAACUGCAUUUUGAAACUGAAAUACUAGAGUAUCGUAGAGGGAGGUAGAAUUCUAGGUGUAGCGGUGAAAUGCGUAGAUAUCUGGAGGAAUACCUGUGGCGAAAGCGGCCUCCUAAACGAAUACUGACACUGAGGUGCGAAAGCGUGGGGAGUAAACAGGGAUUAGAUACC
rnacentral:rRNA from 1 species